rnacentral:rRNA from 1 species
GCUUGUCUCAAAGAUUAAGCCAUGCAUAUCUAAGAAUAACUAACAUUAUCUUGAAUCUGUGAAUGGCUCAUUAUAUCAGUUAUAGUUUACAUGAUAGUCAAUACUACUUGGAUAACCGUGGUAAUUCUAGAGCUAAUACAUGCUGUUAAGCCUGACUUCUUGAAGGGCUGUAUUUAUUAGAUAACAGACCAAUAUUCCUCGUGUCUAUUGUGGUGACUCAUAGUAACUGAUCGGAUCGCACGGGCUUGCCCGCGACAAACCAUUCAAGUUUCUGCCCCAUCAGCUUUCGAUGGUAGUGUAUUGGACUACCAUGGCUUUUACGGGUAACGGAGGAUUAGGGUUCGAUUCCGGAGAGGGAGCCUGAGAAACGGCUACCACAUCUAAGGAAGGCAGCAGG